ACACACAGGCCACAUUUUGUUUUUUUUUCUUUCAUAACUUGUCCUGUCUAGUAUCGUAGCAAGCAGAAUGAUGGUUUGGCUGCUGGGUUGUGC